CCAGUUCCGGAGGGCGUGCACUGAGGACUCGUUCUCUCUUCUUUUAUAGUGUGUUGGUUGAUGAUCUCAACAUGCGCAGUUCCCUCACCUGGGGUUCACUGGAAUCGGUCAGUGAACUUUGCGGGGGGGGGGAGGUUCUUUACAGGG